rnacentral:rRNA from 1 species
GUAAUACGAGGGGUGCAAGCGUUAAUCGGAAUUACUGGGCGUAAAGCGUACGUAGGUGGUUUGUUAAGCCAGCUGUGAAAUCCCCGGGCUCAACCUGGGAAUUGCAGUUGGAACUGGCAAGCUAGAGUAGGGUAGAGGGGUGUGGAAUUCCAGGUGUAGCGGUGAAAUGCGUAGAUAUCUGGAGGAACAUCAGUGGCGAAGGCGACACCCUGGACUCAUACUGACACUGAGGUACGAAAGCGUGGGGAGCAAACAGGAUUAGAUACCCUGGUAGUCCACGCCGUAAACGAUGUCUACUAGCCGUUGGGAGCCUUGAGCUCUUAGUGGCGCAGCUAACGCACUAAGUAGACCGCCUGGGGAGUACGGUCGCAAGAUUAAAACUC